rnacentral:lncRNA from 1 species
GGGUGUGGAUCCUUCUUGGGCAUCCUACUUGCUAGUGUGAGAUAUCACAUAAUCACAUCUCAUCCCUCGAUUGAUUGAUUUGCGAAGCCAAUUAGUUUGGAGUUCAUCCUGCUUUCCUGCGGCGUCUAACGUGCAUACAAAGUAGAGGGUCUGCAUAUCCAGAUCUCCAUAAAGGUUUAUAUCAAAUAAUUUAAGAUUUGAUCUCUAGUUCUAUAGUGAUUCAGGUAAGGAUUUGAUCUUUAAACAAGUAGAAUAUUAAAAAAAAUUUUUAGAUGCAACUUGGGCAUUCUGGAGGAAAACUGUUUCCUUCUCUUCAACUGGUAUCAGAGCAGGCCUGA